UCAGCGCGGCGGGACGGGCAGCGGUGCCGCGAAGGGAGGGCGGCUGGUGGGCCGAGGUCCGAGCCGCCGCCCGCCCCGGGCAGCGCCGUGACCGGCCGCCCUGCCAUUACCUGGGAGAGCCGGGGAAAGAACAUCAGAGUCAGAACCUUGAGAAACUGUGAUGGAGUGGCAUCACAGAAGGAUUUAGUCAACGUCUUUCACACAAGGUAACGAAAAAGGGCACAAAGCAUCCACGUAGUUUUAUUUCAAACAAUGAAUCUAAGAUGAACUCUGUGGGGUCCCAUUUUCACCGAGUCUCCAGGACUUGCAGAAUACAUGUUCUCAGAUUACAGGCACGCAUGUGGAGCAAAGUCUUCGUCCCACUGACAUCAGUGGCAGAAUUCCCAUUGAUCUGAAUAAGGCUGAAAUUGCAUCCUAGCCUUUCUAACUGCUGCCUGCCAAAAUCGACUUCAGACCUGUGCAUCCUUCCUGUGUUAUGCAUCACCAUUAGUAAUGAAGGCACUGCGGUCCGCGCCGUGUCUGCCAUUACGUCCUUGAGAAGUGAUCAAGACAAAUCUAAAUGAGGAAUGAGAGACCCCAGCAACAGGAGGGGCCUCUGCACAGUGAGUGUACGAUGUGUGAUUAAGAGUCUCCUUGCCGUUGCUGCAGAUGGACCCAGCUGCCCGCUAGGCACGCACUCAGUGCUGACUAAAGGAGCCGGACGGAGAGCAGUGUGAGUCAACUUGGCCCGACCUGGACGUGUGUUGUCCUUGUUCACCAGUGUCCCAAGUUGGAAAUGUGUCACCAACACCACCACAAAGACUCUGUCAGUUCUCCGCUAUCAUGUCUGACCUUUUCUAAUUAAAGAAUGGUCUAACCAUUUAGAGAAAACCUAGAGGUCUCUCCCAGCUUUUGCCCGAUUACAGCUGGGGAUUUGGGCACAUAGGACCAAAUGCACCCAAAAUAAGUGUUGUCUGAAGGAAUUAGAGUCUCAGAAAAUGAUCAGUGAGGCUUUCUACUGCAAUGUCCAUGGAGUGUGCAGUAUCAUCAGAAGACGUAUUUUACAACAAAUAAAAGUGCUCAAAAAUGCAGGUUAAAAAAAAAGGAGCAUGAAGGGAGAAAAUGCCUAUGUAUGCAGUGUACAGAUGUCAUCUGCUGCUGAUGGAUGGCUGAAUAUGGUCCUGGUGAGAAAAAGAGGAUUUAUUUAUUCUCACUCCCCGUAUUGUCCAUUUGUCCCUUGCUGCAGGGGUCUUCUCAAGCUUGAUGGAGGUGCAGCCACCUAGUACACUGUACCUUAGUACAGUCUUGAUUAUUUUCUAGUAAAACGCUCACUGAAUCCUCUGACUGUUGUGCUACACUGAGAACAGAAAGCUCUUGCUCAUCUGGCAUUUGUUAUCCACAGCUGCCUUUCCUCUUUCAUAGGUAUUUCAGCUUAUGGAUAAGCUAGAGGAAAAAAGAGAGUUUUUCAUAAUGCCAGUUUCAAUUUGAAAGCUAAAGAACACCAAAUAGCCAAGCUCUGAGACUUAACUUCUAUGCUUACAGAAACAUUCUCAUGUCUUUUUGACUGAAUUAAAUGUUGGUCUUUCUGUUACAUCUUGCAUUAGGAGCUGCUUGCAGUUCUUCGUAUAUGAUCAUUCUCUCAUCGUGCUGGAAAACAAUAUGUGGGAGUUUCUUUCCAUACUAGAUCUUUGUGGGUUACUUGCUAGUAAACUAAUUUUACAUGACUCAGAUUUAAAUAAUAAAAAGGCUUAACUCCA